AUAUUACAAAUCUUUCCUUAAUCGAUAGUGCAUAACUUUUAAUAGUGCAAACGUCGAUUUAAGUGUGUUUUUGUGUUAUUGCUGUAUUUAUGAGCGCUUUCGCAUUUAAUUUAUAUUUGUUUUACCCGAUACCCACAGAAUACAGAGUGAAUGCGAUGAAUUACAUAUUUUUGGGAUUUGACAUGUCUGACAUGAAAAAAUUUUGUGUUAUUUCUCAACUUUAACUUAACUUAAAUAAAAACCGAACUUCAAUCGUUCUAAAAGCCUAACCGCACUGAGCUGCAGAAUGAGCUUUAACGUUUCUACAGUUCGUAUUUUAAAUUGAGAAACGGAAACAGUGCGUCGACCGUUGGGUUGACGAGAGGGGUUGCAACCUCUUACUGCCGUGAUUUCACGUCUGAUUUGAUGCCGUCGCCCGUUUCACUACUCUUCUGCGUAAAAGAAGAUUCGUAGGCUUUCUCAACAUGGACACCAUUUUUCAUGUAAAGUCGAGGCAGCCGAACAGCCUGAAUUUGGAUGUAGUUUCGGUCUGAGCUGCAGCGUCGAUCUUUAUCUUUCUAUUUCCUUGUGCGAUGCGUAGCCAUGAUACCGUUUUCACAUUCCCAUGGUCAGAAAUGUAUCCUUCAAGUCCUGCGUAAAACUAUAACUCAAAAAAUCUACGCCUUUAAUGAUGUCGGCGACAAUGAAAUCCUGUCCUAGGUUCGUCUUCUAAGCUUCUUUGUAACCACGCGUCUCCACCUGUAGCUGUUUGUAGUCCUAUCUCAUUCAGAGACUCCACAUUUUUUUAACUAAACUUCUAAAUGUUAAAUGAGAA